rnacentral:rRNA from 1 species
GAUGAACGCUGGCGGCGUGCCUAAUACAUGCAAGUCGAGCGAACGGACGAGAAGCUUGCUUUUCUGAUGUUAGCGGCGGACGGGUGAGUAACACGUGGAUAACCUACCUAUAAGACCGGGAUAACUUCGGGAAACCGGAGCUAAUACCGGAUAAUAUUUUGAACCGCAUGGUUCAAAAGUGAAAGACGGUCUUGCUGUCACUUAUAGAUGGAUCCGCGCUGCAUUAGCUAGUUGGUAAGGUAACGGCUUACCAAGGCAACGAUGCAUAGCCGACCUGAGAGGGUGAUCGGCCACACUGGAACUGAGACACGGUCCAGACUCCUACGGGAGGCAGCAGUAGGGAAUCUUCCGCAAUGGGCGAAAGCCUGACGGAGCAACGCCGCGUGAGUGAUGAAGGUCUUCGGAUCGUAAAACUCUGUUAUUAGGGAAGAACAUAUGUGUAAGUAACUGUGCACAUCUUGACGGUACCUAAUCAGAAAGCCACGGCUAACUACGUGCCAGCAGCCGCGGUAAUACGUAGGUGGCAAGCGUUAUCCGGAAUUAUUGGGCGUAAAGCGCGCGUAGGCGGUUUUUUAAGUCUGAUGUGAAAGCCCACGGCUCAACCGUGGAGGGUCAUUGGAAACUGGAAAACUUGAGUGCAGAAGAGGAAAGUGGAAUUCCAUGUGUAGCGGUGAAAUGCGCAGAGAUAUGGAGGAACACCAGUGGCGAAGGCGACUUUCUGGUCUGUAACUGACGCUGAUGUGCGAAAGCGUGGGGAUCAAACAGGAUUAGAUACCCUGGUAGUCCACGCCGUAAACGAUGAGUGCUAAGUGUUAGGGGGUUUCCGCCCCUUAGUGCUGCAGCUAACGCAUUAAGCACUCCGCCUGGGGAGUACGACCGCAAGGUUGAAACUCAAAGGAAUUGACGGGGACCCGCACAAGCGGUGGAGCAUGUGGUUUAAUUCGAAGCAACGCGAAGAACCUUACCAAAUCUUGACAUCCUUUGACAACUCUAGAGAUAGAGCCUUCCCCUUCGGGGGACAAAGUGACAGGUGGUGCAUGGUUGUCGUCAGCUCGUGUCGUGAGAUGUUGGGUUAAGUCCCGCAACGAGCGCAACCCUUAAGCUUAGUUGCCAUCAUUAAGUUGGGCACUCUAAGUUGACUGCCGGUGACAAACCGGAGGAAGGUGGGGAUGACGUCAAAUCAUCAUGCCCCUUAUGAUUUGGGCUACACACGUGCUACAAUGGACAAUACAAAGGGCAGCGAAACCGCGAGGUCAAGCAAAUCCCAUAAAGUUGUUCUCAGUUCGGAUUGUAGUCUGCAACUCGACUACAUGAAGCUGGAAUCGCUAGUAAUCGUAGAUCAGCAUGCUACGGUGAAUACGUUCCCGGGUCU